rnacentral:rRNA from 1 species
GAUGAACGCUGGCGGCGUGCCUAAUACAUGCAAGUCGAGCGAAUGGAUUAAGAGCUUGCUCUUAUGAAGUUAGCGGCGGACGGGUGAGUAACACGUGGGUAACCUGCCCAUAAGACUGGGAUAACUCCGGGAAACCGGGGCUAAUACCGGAUAACAUUUUGAACCGCAUGGUUCGAAAUUGAAAGGCGGCUUCGGCUGUCACUUAUGGAUGGACCCGCGUCGCAUUAGCUAGUUGGUGAGGUAACGGCUCACCAAGGCAACGAUGCGUAGCCGACCUGAGAGGGUGAUCGGCCACACUGGGACUGAGACACGGCCCAGACUCCUACGGGAGGCAGCAGUAGGGAAUCUUCCGCAAUGGACGAAAGUCUGACGAAGCAACGCCGCGUGGGUGAUGAAGGCUUUCGGGUCGUAAAACUCUGUUGUUAGGGAAGAACAAGUGCUAGUUGAAUAAGCUGGCACCUUGACGGUACCUAACCAGAAAGCCACGGCUAACUACGUGCCAGCCGCCGCGGUAA